AUUGAACGCUGGCGGCAGGCCUAACACAUGCAAGUCGAGCGCGCGGCGGACGGGUGUGUAAUGUAUGGGGACUGCCCGAUAGAGGGGGAUCACUACUGGACACGGUGGCUAAUACCGCAAACUAUCGGAAAACCCAUAUGGGUUUCGCUAGUAGGAGGGGUAAAGACUCAUCUAGGCCGCGAUCUCUAGCUGGUCUGAGAGGAUGAUCAGCCACACUGGGACUGGGACACGGCCCAGACUCCUACGGAGGCAGCAGUGGGGAAUAUGGCACAAUGGGCGCAAGCCUGAUGCAGCCAUGCCGCGUGUAUGAAGAAGGCCUUAGGGUUGUAAAGUACUUUCAGCGGGGAGGCGUUACCCGCAGAAGAAGCACCGGCUAACUCCGUGCCAGCGGCCGCGGUAAUUC
rnacentral:rRNA from 1 species